rnacentral:rRNA from 1 species
GACGAACGCUGGCGGCGUGCUUAACACAUGCAAGUCGAGCGGUAAGGCCCUUCGGGGUACACGAGCGGCGAACGGGUGAGUAACACGUGGGUGAUCUGCCUCGCACUCUGGGAUAAGCCUGGGAAACUGGGUCUAAUACCGGAUAUGACCACGGAUCGCAUGGUUUGUGGUGGAAAGAUUUAUCGGUGCGAGAUGGGCCCGCGGCCUAUCAGCUUGUUGGUGGGGUAAUGGCCUACCAAGGCGACGACGGGUAGCCGACCUGAGAGGGUGACCGGCCACACUGGGACUGAGACACGGCCCAGACUCCUACGGGAGGCAGCAGUGGGGAAUAUUGCACAAUGGGCGAAAGCCUGAUGCAGCGACGCCGCGUGAGGGAUGACGGCCUUCGGGUUGUAAACCUCUUUCGACAGGGACGAAGCGCAAGUGACGGUACCUGUAGAAGAAGCACCGGCCAACUACGUGCCAGCAGCCGCGGUAAUA